CAGCCGCCGCGGUAAAACGAAGGGGGCUAGCGUUGUUCGGAAUCACUGGGCGUAAAGGGAGCGUAGGCGGCGUGGUAAGUCAGAUGUGAAAUCCCGGGGCUCAACCCCGGGACUGCAUCCGAUACUGCCGUGCUAGAGGAUUGGAGAGGUAGCUGGAAUUCUUGGUGUAGCAGUGAAAUGCGUGGAGAUCAAGAGGAACACUCGUGGCGAAAGCGAGCUACUGGACAAUAUCUGACGCUGAGGCUCGAAGGCCAGGGUAGCGAAAGGGAUUAGAUACCCCCGUAGUCCCUGUCUCUUAUAC
rnacentral:rRNA from 1 species